UAGAGUUUUGAUCCUGGCUCAGAUUGAACGCUGGCGGCAGGCCUAACACAUGCAAGUCGAGCGGCAGCACGGGUACUUGUACCUGGUGGCGAGCGGCGGACGGGUGAGUAAUGCCUAGGAAUCUGCCUGGUAGUGGGGGAUAACGCUCGGAAACGGACGCUAAUACCGCAUACGUCCUACGGGAGAAAGCAGGGGACCUUCGGGCCUUGCGCUAUCAGAUGAGCCUAGGUCGGAUUAGCUAGUUGGUGAGGUAAUGGCUCACCAAGGCGACGAUCCGUAACUGGUCUGAGAGGAUGAUCAGUCACACUGGAACUGAGACACGGUCCAGACUCCUACGGGAGGCAGCAGUGGGGAAUAUUGGACAAUGGGCGAAAGCCUGAUCCAGCCAUGCCGCGUGUGUGAAGAAGGUCUUCGGAUUGUAAAGCACUUUAAGUUGGGAGGAAGGGCAGUUACCUAAUACGUAAUUGUUUUGACGUUACCGACAGAAUAAGCACCGGCUAACUCUGUGCCAGCAGCCGCGGUAAUACAGAGGGUGCAAGCGUUAAUCGGAAUUACUGGGCGUAAAGCGCGCGUAGGUGGUUCGUUAAGUUGGAUGUGAAAUCCCCGGGCUCAACCUGGGAACUGCAUUCAAAACUGUCGAGCUAGAGUAUGGUAGAGGGUGGUGGAAUUUCCUGUGUAGCGGUGAAAUGCGUAGAUAUAGGAAGGAACACCAGUGGCGAAGGCGAUUCAUCCGGACGAUACGACACGAGGUGCGAAAGCUGAGUGGGGUG
rnacentral:rRNA from 1 species